UACGAAGGGGGGCUAGCGUUGCUCGGAAUCACUGGGCGUAAAGGGUGCGUAGGCGGGUCUUUAAGUCAGGGGUGAAAUCCUGGAGUUCAACUCCAGAACUGCCUUUGAUACUGAAGAUCUUGAGUUCGGGAGAGGUGAGUGGAACUGCGAGUGUAGAGGUGAAAUUCGUAGAUAUUCGCAAGAACACCAGUGGCGAAGGCGGCUCACUGGCCCGAUACUGACGCUGAGGCGCGAAAGCGUGGGGAGCAAACAGG
rnacentral:rRNA from 1 species